rnacentral:lncRNA from 1 species
GAAAGACACAUGGUUGACUCCAAAUAGAUAAAGAUUUGUUCGAACAUGGAUUAAUCGCGUGCUACAUUUGGGUAACACGAUGACUAAUCAGUAUGUUUUUUUUAAAUAUUUCUUACUAUGUAUUUUUUUAAUAUGUAUUAUUUUUAAUAUUUUUAAUAUGCAUUAUUUUUAGGGUUGAAUCUGCUCAUUGGAAGUUAAAGCAGAUGUUGGGGAACAGUAUAGGUGACAUGGUCAAAUGUUGGGAAGCUAUGUAUAACAACUUGAGGUUACAACUGGG